rnacentral:rRNA from 1 species
AACCCUUGUCAUUAGUUGCUACAUUCAGUUGGGCACUCUAAUGAGACUGCCGGUGACAAGCCGGAGGAAGUGGGGAUGACGUCAAGUCCUCAUGGCCCUUAUAGGUGGGGCUACACACGUCAUACAAUGGCUGGUACAAAGGGUUGCCAACCCGCAAGGGGGAGCCAAUCCCAUAAAGCCAGUCGUAGUCCGGAUCGUAGUCUGCAACUCGACUACGUGAAGUCGGAAUCGCUAGUAAUCGUGGAUCAGAAUGUCACGGUGAAUACGUUCCCGGGUCUU